rnacentral:lncRNA from 1 species
AUAAGGACUAGGUUGCUGGAAAUAAGCUGAACACAUUGGAAAAGUGCCUCUCUCUCUCUCUAUGCCCAAUUCCACUUUUUAACCUAUUUUUAGGCCAGACAAUCUUUCCAAAAUCUCUUUUGACUGCUCAUCCAUUCUUUUUAACCAACAUUUUAGUCUUUUGUACAUUUAUUUUAAAACCUGCACUUCUCCAAACUUUUUAAUUUCCUAAAACCUUAGGAACGCUUACUUUAUGCUGUUCCACUGUUAAGAUCACAUCAUCCACAAAAGCCUUUAAUUUAUAAGUUCUACACCCUACUUUUAUACCUUUGAUAUCCUUGUUUUCCCUAAUACUCUGCAGCAGUAUUCCCAACGUCGUUCUAUGCCCAAUUCCAGGCAGAUAUGAGAAGAAGAACACUUUGAAAAAUGUAUGCCUUGGGAUACCCUGGACAUUAAGAGGAAUGGUCAACGUGUUCUUGUCCCUUCAGAGUAAAUAGACUUACAUUACAGGUCUAGUGGAGGGAAAUCAAUCGAAUUAACAUAUGAGCAUGGAUUAAGGAAUAUUUGGCAUAUUAUACCAUGGAAGGUGGAGCAGCAAAGGCAUAAUUGUUUUUUUGCUUGUGUUUUGAAUAGGGCUGGUUGGAUGAGGGUAAGUGAGUGGAGCUCAGAAUUGUCAAAAUUAAAGUGUUACAAAAAUGUGUUGGAGAAUGGGAGAUGUUAAAGGGAUAAUUGGGAUAUUCAUCAACUGAGUAUAGGACUUAGUAAUCAAGGCUGAGGGAAAUGAGUUGGAUCUGGAAGGGUGAGUAAAUGUGGUGUGUGUGUGUGUGUGUGUGUGUGUGUAAAUAAAUAAAAUGGAUUGUUUAAAUGGAUAUAUAACAAGAUGGAGAAGGAGUGGGUGGACUAUUGAUAGCCCUGUUUAAAUUGUGUCAAUUUCAUCUACAACAAUGGACAUUCUACUCAUUGAAACAAAUAUAAAAUCAUAAGUAGAUUAUUAUUCAUGAGAUGUACAGCCACACUGUAUGACAGAUAAAAACCAAACACAAUCAUAACAUUUCAGUUGGUGUACCAAUAAUGAAACAAUUUGACCCUAUAAUUAUGUAACCCAUAGUAGGAUUGGAAAAUGGUUUGUUGUUUGUUGUUGUUUAGUCGUUUAGUCGUGUCCGACUCUUCAUGACCCCAUGGACCAGAGCACGCCAGGCACUCCUGUCUUCCACUGCCUCCCGCAGUUUGGUCAGACUCAUGUUUGUAGCUUCGAGAACACUGUCCAACCAUCUCGUCCUCUGUCGUCCCCUUCUCCUUGUGCCCUCCAUCUUUCCCAGCAUCAGGGUCUUUUCCAGGGAGUCUUCUCUUCUCAUGAGGUGGCCAAAGUAUUGGAGCCUCAGCUUCACGAUCUGUCCUUCCAGUGAGCACUCAGGGCUGAUUUCCUUCAGAAUGGAUAGGUUUGAUCUUCUUGCAGUCCAUGGGACUCUCAAGAGUCUCCUCCAGCACCAUAACUCAAAAGCAUCAAUUCUUCGGUGAUCAGCCUUCUUUAUGGUCCAGCUCUCACUUCCGUACAUCACUACUGGGAAAACCAUGGCUUUAACUAUACGGACCUUUGUUGGUAAGGUGAUGUCUCUGCUUUUUGGAAAAUGGUUAGUUUAAGUUAAAUGGCUUCAUUUAUAUAUCAGAAUACUGUACUGAUGCAUGGUCCAUAGUAACCAUGCCAUUAUGCAGACAUUAGGACAGUAAGCCAAAUAAGAGGGAGAACUGUAAUUCAGUGGCAUAGGUUGUUUCAUAUACUGUACCAAAGGCCUCAAGUUCACUCCCUAGAGUCACCAGGUAGGGCAGGGAAAGUUUCCUUCCUGAAAUCUUGGAGAGCCACUGCCUGUGUCAACAAUUCUGAGUAAGAUGGACUAGUGGUCUAACUUUAUGUAUGGUAGAGUCCCAUGUCCCCAAUCACAGCAUAUAAUUCUAGACCAAGCCAAAAGACCAAGCCAUUUGAAAAUAAUUCUUAACUUUCUCAAAUAACAUUUGCCUCCACAACCUUUAAAUAUGAUACAAUGUGGUUUUUGGCCAGCUUCUUAAAAUAAAGCAAAUAUAUAUUAAAUAUAUUUAAAAAAACAUUGUCUGAUAGCAUUCAGGCUGUGCAAGCUUGAGAUCUGAAGCUGUUGGUUACAUUGAAACCAGAUUUUUGUUCAAAUAAGUGCUGAAACUGCAAUUUUGCAGUCUGUCAAAAUUAGUUAUUUAUAGCAUCUCUAAGUAUAUUUUCCCUGACUUUGACAAUACUAGCAGAUUCUGAGGAAGUAGAAUUGGCUGCAGAUAACUCAAGUGCUAUAGAUUCCAGGCGUAUAAGAUUUGCUAAGCACUCCAAAAUUGGGAAUCAAAGGUGGGGUUAAUGCAGAAGGAACCUUUGGAAGAAAAAUGUUAUACAGCUGACAUUGUUCGUACUUGUUAGAGAGGGAUGAUAGCCUUCGGUUCAUUUUAUAUGGAUUUUGAGAAAUGUACAAGUGAUAUCACAGCCCAGCAUGAACAGUUCAGAAAGGUACCUGCUGUGCCACUAGCAAUAUGAAAUUCCCUUAAUUGAUAGAGGCAGUUCAUGUGUAUCUGGGAGCUGGAUUCCUCUGGAAUUCAAAUGCAUGGCUAGAACAUAUGGUGGAUGGAGUGGCAGAUUGGUAUCUUCACUUGGAGCAGGAUAAACCUAAGUAACAUUUGUAUUGCCUUGGGACUGGUGAUGUCCAUCGUGAAGGGGUGGGAUUCUAAGCCCAGUUCACUUUUCAUUUUGUUCUUUAUAACUGGGUUAAAAAUACAACAACCCAGCUUUUUGUUGUUGUUUAGUCGUUUAGUCGUGUCCGACUCUUCGUGACCCCAUGGACCAGAACACGCCAGGCACUCCUGUCUUCCACGGCCUCCUGCAGUUUGGUCAAACUCAUGCUGGUAGCUUCGAGAACACUGUCCAACCAUCUCGUCCUCUCUUGUCCCCUUCUCCUUGUGCCCUUCAUCUUUCCCAACAUCAGGAUCUUUUCCAGGGAGUCUUUUCUUCUUAUGAGAUGGCCAAAGUAUUGGAGCCUCAGCUUCACAAUCUGUCCAGCUUUAGCACUUGGCUUUUUUCACAAAGCCAGUCUGUCUAGCACCAAUGCUCAGGCUGCCUUUGUUCCAUGCUGCUAACACAGAUCUUCUUUUCCACCUCUGAGUCCACAUUUGUGCGUCACCAGCCUCCUUCACAAAUCUGCUUUGAAUAAAUCCAUGAUUAUGUGUUUUCAUUUUAAUCCUAGAGAACAAUAGCAAUAGCAAAAAUCGGUGUGCAUACCUAUAAGUGGCAAAUAAUUUAGGAAUACAUAUCUCUAAAAAUAUAAACAAAUCAUAUUCUGUGAAUUUAUUUGCUUUAAUUAAUAAAAACCCGAGAAGGAAAUGCACAGAUGGACCAAAGUGAAUCCCUCACUGUUAGGUAAAAUGUAUAUGCAGUGCAGAUUAUGGCAGUGCCAACAUUUUUAUAUCUAUUUCAGGUGCUCCCCAUCCCAUUCCGUCCAACUAUAUUUAAAUCCUGGCAAUAGAAACAAAAAUUAUUUUGUGUUUCACGGGGGAAAGUUAGCAUAGAAAAUGGACGGAGGCGGCUGGGGUUUGCCUCAAUUAGGAUUUGUAUUAUGUGGACUUUCAGUUCAGAAAGUUUCUUUUCAUUAUUUCAAAAGUGCCUAAAAUGUAUUGAGUUAGAGCAAGAAAUUACACAUCAAACUCCAUUGUGGGUUCUCUCUUUUUGUCAUUUAAAUAAGUCUAUGUUACAAAAAAACCACAAACCUGAUCAUUUUAUAUUAUGCAUGGUACAAAUUUGGAAGAAAUUGCAGCUUUACAUCUCUCUUAUCUGCUCACCAUUACUUGCAGUGGGAUAAAAUACAGAAGUUAAGGAUAUGUCAUUCAGUAAAGAAAUAGGAACAGACAGGUAUGUUUUAAAUAAGGAAUUUUUACAGUGAUAAUACAGCUAUUACUCUGGAACAAUUUAGGAUUGCUGAAGGUAAAGCCAAGUUGUUGUUUUUUUUUGCUAGCAAGUCAAAAACUGAAGACCCAAGCCAAUGGGGGUCUUACUAAAUUUUUGCGUUCGCUGUUGAACCAGAGAGCCACUGGAAAGGGACUAGUUUCUUUUAUAUAUAGGGAAUUGUUGGAACUGUCAAUUGGACCCCUUACAGGCCUUAAAAAAUCUAUGGAAAACAGAAAUGGAGAGUACAGUUGCAGAUGGUAAAUGGUUUUCUAAAUAUGUGGUUUUCUAAGCCAUGAUAGUCUGUUUCUGCGCACAUCUGGGAAUGUUCAUAAAAAAAUUCACACAGGUGGCACCACACACACACACACACACACACACACACACAAUUGUUCUGUGUGACUUUCAGUAUGACACUGUUUUGCUGGAGAGGAUGUGGGUUACAAGGAAUAUUUUUUUCAUUUAUGGUGGGAGGGACCAUUGGGAAUAAAGUUCUGGUUUAAUGUGUAGUUUUGGUCUAAUGAAGAAAAUGGGUAUGUUUAACCUGAAUAAAAGAUUGUUAAGAGGUGAUGUGAUAGAUAUCUGCAAAUAUUUGAAAGGCUGUGUAUGAUGGACCUUUAUUUCUGUUGCUCUAGAAGGUAGGACAUGAUCCAAUUAAUUUAAAUUACAAGAAAAGGGAUUUUGACAAAACAUUAGAAUAACUUCCUGACAGUACAAGCUCUUUCAAAGUUGAACAGGCUCCCUUGGAAGGCGAUUGUAGACUAUUUUUUGUUAGAGGUGUUCAGGCAGAGGCUGCUGAUCAGGGAUACUAUAGCAGUGGGUUUUCUGCAGCGGCAGGGACUUGUACUAUAUGACCUUUACAUAUAACACCUUCAAUGUCACUUAGUUACUUUAAAUAAAAGCAAAUAAGCAAUAGAGUUAAAAAAAGGGACCCCUGACCAUUAGGUCCAGUCAUGACCGACUGGGGUUGUGGCGCUCAUCUUGCUUUAUUGGCCGAGGGAGCCGGCGUACAGCUUCCAGGUCAUGUGACCAGCAUGACUAAGCCGCUUCUGGCAAACCAAAGCAGCACACGGAAACGCCAUUUACCUUCCUGCCGGAGCGGUACCUAUUUAUCUACUUGUACUUUAACGUGCUUUCGAACUGCUAGGUUGGCAGGAGAAAUGGGAGCUCACCCCGUUGCGGGGAUUCGAACCGCUGACCUUCUGAUCGGCAAGUCCUAGGCUCUGUGGUUUAACCCACAGCGCCACCCACAUCCCUAAGCAAUAGAGUUACUGUGUGUUUAAUAAGGUGACCAUUUGAGGCUUCAGUUCUAUGCCCUGAAAAAGUAUUUCCAAUUACCCUUUCACUCUCCUUCCCAAGUUAACAUACUGCACCCAGAGAACUUUACAAGCAGUCUUCAAUUUGGUCCUUAUUUCCCUCACUCUGGAGCCCUUUAGAGUGAAGGAAGUAAGGAUUGCAGUCAUUGUCUUCUACCUGAUCCAGCAACAAUUGUCACCUCAGGUUCAUAUGAAUCAGUAAUUAUUUGGCAGAAGCUCUUUCUUGAAGACUAUUCCAGGGUGUUGCUCUUUUGUUAUGUUAGCCAACGUCCUUUAGCACAAUGCCUCAGUGAUAUCAAUUCCUGGGUUGCAUCUUCAGCUUCCCUUCAGAUGCCAACCUCUGCUUCUGUCCCAGGUUCUCUUCUGGCUUCCCAUGAGAAUAGAAGAAAUAUAAGGCACAGUGCAUAUAUACCAAGUUUAGCUAAAAUUAGGGUCUGGUGAUCUGUCAUUAGAUUACAAUCCCACUUUCAGACAGUAAAAAAAAAAAUCACUUGGUCAUUCAGUGUUAUGCGAUACAUAAUAUUGGCAGGAAAAAUCAGCCUCCCUUUUGGAAAAGUAAUGCCACUGCAAUGAUCUUCACUCAUGUGUUGUGCCAGAUAACUGGUUAAUUAACAGUGGUCACCUUAGUUCAUCUGAGCAACCUCUCCCAAUUUUUCUUAAGAUGCAAGAACUUUCAGGUUACACAGAAUAAUUCCAGAACGGCUCCAUCUUUUGUUAGGGGAAUCAUUAGUUUGAACUGAUUUUAUGUUGUCUCCUCACAAAAGUGAGGAGAGUGCUGUUGCAGUCAAGUCUUGCUCUGGGGCUUCCUGUGGGCAUCUGUUUGGCCACUGUGAAAACAAGUUACCAAACUAGGCAAGUUAGAUGGUCUGACCCACCAGGGGUCUUCUUAUAUUUGAAAACACCUCAAGCUCCAUUUUCUUCCAUGCACCUUCUUCAAAUCCAGUAGCAUUUCACUGUUUAAUCAACUGGGAUGUAUGUACUUCUUUUCUAGCUGAAUGUAAUCUCAUAUCCAGACCUUGAUAUGUCGCAGGGUUUUUCCUGGCCUGUGCCACUUAGGACAUGUCAAAUUGGAAGGAAAGAAAGACCUUAGCUUUGACAAAGUACUGGGUUGUCAAGCAGAUACUGAAAGUGUCUUUGAGGCCUUUAUUAAAAUACAUAUUGUAGGAAGAAAUGUACCCCUGGAGCUAGAAUGUAAAUGACUUCCAUUAACAGGGCCUUUUUAACUUAUAGGCUAGGUAUAUUUUCUUCUUCUUCAUAAUGCUGAAGCUAUCUGCUCUGCAGAACAUCUUUCUUUCUUUUCCCCCCUGUUCAGAAUGAACUUUAAACAGCUGUGAUUAGUGGGAGGAAAAGAACAUUGCAAUAUAAAAUUAAUUGCUUCAACCUACAUUGUUCUCUUCAAAUCCACAGCUCAUUUUCUGCUGGGCCAGGCACCACCUGCUCCCCCCGGCUCCCAACUUCCCUUCCCACGCAACCAGCAAGAUCAACGUAGGAGAAAGGGAACCCAAUCAUUUUGGACCUGGUUUGAGAACUAUUAUUCUGGCAGUAACUGAGCUAAGAAGGAUGGGAACAUGUCAUUGCUGAGCUCUUCACAAAGAUAACCAGGGGAAAUGUGUCAUAAAAUGAAUAUGCUUCAUUCCAGAGCUUCGCUUUAAAUCAAACUAUAAAAAUCCUUUCUUUUAAAUCACUUCAAUUCAUUCAGCUGAGGGGAAAGUGCAAAGAGGUAAAUAAAUUCCCAGCAAUAAAAAUGUCCCAAAAACUCUCUUUGUUUAAUUAAAACCUUCCAGUGAGGCUUU